rnacentral:lncRNA from 1 species
UUCAGAAUAACAUUUCCCAUAAACUUUGAGUUUUGAUUUUGUUGUUUUUGUUGUUUUGUUUUGUUUUGAGACGGAUUUUCACUCUUGUUGCCCAGGCUGGAGUGCAAUGGCACGAUCUCAGUUCACUGCAACCUCCACCUCCCAGGUUCAAGCAAUUCUCCUGCCUCAGCCUCCUGAGUAGCUGGGAUUACAGGGACGCACCACCACGCCCGGCUAAUUUUGUAUUUUUAGUAGAGACGGGGUUUCUCCAUGUUGGUCAGGCUGGUCUCAAACUCCCGACCUUAUUGUCUGAAAAUUAAACUUAUAUGUAACUGAACAUAGUAUUCAAAUAUUUGCCUUUUUUUCUAUAUAAAUGACUUAUAUGUUUCUGUAGGAGAAAGUGAUUCUGACAAAUCAGUGAAAUGCAUAAAGAAAGGACAAAGAGACAGGACAUGUCACAAAAGAUUUUUUUGCGCUACGUCACCUCUGUGGGUUUUAAGAGAUUGUAUUCAAGUGGAUAUUCUUAGACCACAUUCUUGAGGCGUUAUUAGUAUAAGAACCUGCCUAUGGGAGAAGUGGACCUACCAUGAAAGAAGGCGAAGCAUCAUGGAAGAGAAUUGAAAGCUGAAAUUCUGUCUGUUGGAGAACAUGGGGAGGAAAUCUGGAACACCCAAUCCAGCUGGUUUAGCCACCUAAUGAACCAUUCCAUUAGUAACUAAAGAUCUUUGCUUUGUUCAUGUUACCUGCAUUAGAACCUGAACUCCUUCAAAGAAAUUCUCUUUCUCUUGUUUCUAUAGAAACAAUGCUGCUAAAAUAUAUUACAUAUCAUUAAUAUUUUGAAGUCUAUGAUUAAUAAAUAUGAAAAAUAAUUAUUGAUGUUCAUUCUUAAAGCUUCACUGUAAACAUAACUGUCUUCAUGCUUCAUCAAUGUCCCUAUAUACCUCGCUUUUUUGAUAAUAAUGAAAAAGAAGUAGAGGUUGUAAAAGAAAGGUGAGGGUAGAAGAAAAGAGCAGAAAAGGGGAAAAAGGGAUUGGAAAGGGGAAGAAGGAGAGGGCACAAGAGGAAAGGUAGUGGGAGAGGAGGAAAGAGAAGAGAGGAGGAAAGGAGAAAGUGGUUUCUGAGGGAAGGAGCAUUGGAGGCCAUGAUUUUGACCCAAGGCUCAUUUGCAUACAUACCAUAAGGCCUUGGAGGCACGUGUCAUCAUUUAAAGGAUGGAGGGGAUGUCUUUAUUACAAGGUCACUAUGUAUAGAUGCAGUUGUGCAGUGAAAGUACUUAGAUGUUGAGAUGCCAUAAAUCUAAUAGCCCCUCCCCGCACCAGGCUUAAGAUGUAUGUUUUGGUGAGAAAUUUACUCCAAGCCAGGCUAAUGAAGGGAAAGCUUAGAGUGAAUGGGAAAGAGAAUAACAGGAAUGCCUCCUUGAUCACCACACCAGAUGUACGAUGCUGAGGAAGGCAUGAGAAGCCUAGAAAAGAGCUUCUGAGACUCUCAGAUGCUGGAAGGCAUCACUGGAACAGCUUCCCUCCUCAGGAAGCCAGAGUCAGCAGUGCAUUGUUUGGGCUCUGCUAGUUCCACAUGAGCCAGGAUAAGUAGCUUGGGAGGCGGCAGAGCUACAAGGUUUCCAGCACAAGUGGCUGCUGGUGGGGAACUCAGCUGGAACCACCAUGACCAGCUCCCUGGCUAGAGAGUGCAAGUGACCUAUGUCUUUGCCUGCAGCAGUUCCUGGGUAUCAGGGAGACUGGCCCACUCCCUCAGCAACAGGUCAGAAAAGAACUCAUCCUUGGAGGGAAGUUUCUAGGGAGGGAAGCCAAUGAGGAGGGCCCUUAUUUCUGUUUCUCCCUGGGUCUGCCCCUGGUGCUACAUAUCAGAGAAGAAAGACCCCCACGGGGUUGUGCAAAGAGGGCCAACAGAGCACCUCCAAUUUAUUCCAAGGGCAAAUGGCUAGAGGCACAGACAAAAAUGUUGGGCACCUGAGGGAAAAGGAUUUAAGGCCAGAGUUUGGCUUCAUUGAUGUCUGGCCCUCUUCAGGCCGAAAUUUGUGUACAGCUACUUCUAGCAGGGGUGAGAUCACCAGGAGA